ACUCAAAUGAAUUGACGGGGGCCCGCACAAGCGGUGGAGCAUGUGGUUUAAUUCGACGCAACGCGAAGAACCUUACCCAGACUUGACAUGCAUUAGACAGGUGUGGAAACACACCCUCCCUUCGGGGCUAGUGCACAGGUGCUGCAUGGCUGUCGUCAGCUCGUGUCGUGAGAUGUUGGGUUAAGUCCCGCAACGAGCGCAACCCUUGUUCUUAGUUGCUAACGGGUGAUGCCGAGCACUCUAAGAAGACUGCCGGUGAUAAACCGGAGGAAGGUGGGGAUGACGUCAAGUCCUCAUGGCCCUUACGUCUGGGGCUACACACGUGCUACAAUGGCCGGUACAAAGGGUCCCGAUACCGCGAGGUGGAGGCAAUCCCAAAAAACCGGUCUCAGUUCGGAUUGCAGUCUGCAACUCGACUGCAUGAAGUCGGAAUCGCUAGUAAUCGCUGAUCAGCAGGCAGCGGUGAAUACGUUCCCGGGCCUUGUACACACCGCCCGU
rnacentral:rRNA from 1 species